GUUCUUCAGGCCUGUCUCAGAGCUAUCAAGGAUGCAGCAAAAGGGAUGCCUUUGAUCUGCUGUCUCUGGAUGCACAAGGAGCUCAGAGAAACAACCAGGACACAGAACAAAACAAAGCAUGGAGCUCUAAUUUAGGGGUUUCAGCUAAGCGAGUCACUCAGCACCAGCACUGCACAGGAGGUAGUUCUUACAGCUUCCUUUAUGAGAAAGAUUUGUUCUUCUGUUUAUAGCGCACGCUCUGAUGUGGACUUCCAGCUCAGAACCCAGGUUCUCGAACUCAUGAACGCAUUCAGCAUCCCUUGCUAUCACAACCAGCUUGACAGAAAGACCACAGGCCAAGUGCAGCAGAGUUCCGGAAAGUGAAUGCAGCAAAAUACCCUUGCUCUCUUUGAGGGUAUCAGAGCCAGGAGGGUGGCUGACUCUGAUGAUAGAACAAGAGCCAGAUAUGCUCCUGCUGCUCCAGUAGAGUGGUCUUCAGGUGAUCGAGAUUCCGAGCUCCCAAACCAAGGCAAGAAUAAGGAAACUGGAACAGGAGGGCAUGGUGGGCUCCAGCCUCCCGUGACAGUGAAACAUUGCCUUAGAAUGACUGUUGUUAAUACAAUUGAGGAAAUAGAACACGUAAUCUUGUGAUUAAGUUAUACACAAUUUGAUUUAAAUUUAGUUCCUGGCAGUUGCUAGGUUUCACUCUGGCAUACUCUCUCAGUGUGGAAGCUGCUGAUUCAGAAAGAGAUGUUCCAAAGCUCAUGUAUUUCCUGGACACAUCCAAGUACUGAAUAAAAUGCUGGUUAAAUAAAUGAGUUAAUUUUCCAAGAAAGACA
rnacentral:antisense_RNA from 1 species